UUGAACGCUGGCGGCAGGCCUAACACCUGCCAGUCGAGCGGAUGAAGGGAGCUUGCUCCUGGAUUCAGCGGCGGGCGGGUGAGUAAUGCCUAGGAAUCUGCCUGGUAGUGGGGGAUAACGUCCGGAAACGGGCGCUAAUACCGCAUACGUCCUGAGGGAGAAAGUGGGGGAUCUUCGGACCUCACGCUAUCAGAUGAGCCUAGGUCGGAUUAGCUAGUUGGUGGGGUAAAGGCCUACCAAGGCGACGAUCCGUAACUGGUCUGAGAGGAUGAUCAGUCACACUGGAACUGAGACACGGUCCAGACUCCUACGGGAGGCAGCAGUGGGGAAUAUUGGACAAUGGGCGAAAGCCUGAUCCAGCCAUGCCGCGUGUGUGAAGAAGGUCUUCGGAUUGUAAAGCACUUUAAGUUGGGAGGAAGGGCAGUAAGUUAAUACCUUGCUGUUUUGACGUUACCAACAGAAUAAGCACCGGCUAACUUCGUG
rnacentral:rRNA from 1 species